GACGAACGCUGGCGGCGUGCUUAACACAUGCAAGUCGAACGGAAUGGCCCUGCUUUUGUGGGGUGCUCUAGUGGCGAACGGGUGAGUAACACGUGAGUAACCUGCCCUUGACUUUGGGAUAACUUCAGGAAACUGGGGCUAAUACCGGAUAGGAGCUCCUGCUGCAUGGUGGGGGUUGGAAAGUUUCGGCGGUUGGGGAUGGACUCGCGGCUUAUCAGCUUGUUGGUGGGGUAGUGGCUUACCAAGGCUUUGACGGGUAGCCGGCCUGAGAGGGUGACCGGCCACAUUGGGACUGAGAUACGGCCCAGACUCCUACGGGAGGCAGCAGUGGGGAAUAUUGCACAAUGGGCGGAAGCCUGAUGCAGCAACGCCGCGUGCGGGAUGACGGCCUUCGGGUUGUAAACCGCUUUCGCCUGUGACGAAGCGUGAGUGACGGUAAUGGGUAAAGAAGCACCGGCUAACUACGUG
rnacentral:rRNA from 1 species